rnacentral:lncRNA from 10 species
CAUUUUUCUCUUCUAUCUUAUCACUAUCUCUUCUUGGAGGGCCUCGGAUGUGUCUGGCCACUUCCUGCCAGGGCCAUUCCCUGAUGCUGCCAACCUUUCCCAGAAAAGGAGUGGCUCCUAGAAAGACAAGGCCUACCGAGAAAUGCAGAGGGGCAGGAAGUGAGCCAUUUCGAGGGCACUCCUGUGUCACCCUGUGCUGUUGGAGUCGCCGAGGAUACAGUGUACAGGUAGCGGGAUAGCCGGUUGCCAGCACAGGCUGGGUUGAGAAACCUCCAAGGUUGACACUGCUGUUCAGGUGAAGGAGAGUUCAGAGUCUCAGAGAGCAGCAGCAGCUUGUGCUUCUGGGAAAAUGGAAGGAUGACUCCCAGGCAGCCGAUCCUGCCACUCCGUAAAAUGGAAGAACCUUGGCUCCCCGUGUGAAUUCUCUUUGUGAUUUGGAAGACAAAUACCUCUGCUGAGUUGUCUAUGAACAGAUGCUAAGAUAAGAGUCGAUGGUGCCGUGAACCAAGGUACUGACAUAGCAGCUGGAGAGAAGUGAAUGGAUUUCAAUGAUGUAAGGGAGAUGAACUGACAACAAAAUAAUUGUUGAUAAGAUCUGGAGAUUGAGAGAAGAAUGACAGAAUGACUGUAGGAUCUUGAUUUGCGCCAAGUGAAUGGAUGCUGCUCACUUAGAAGAAGAUUUUUGUUUUGGAAAAAUUCUUUUUAGAUGAAGCAGUUUCCUUGUUUUGAAAAAUGGACGAUAGCCCAGGUGCAGUGGCUCACACCUGUAAUCUCAGCACUUUGGAAGACUGAGGAGGGCGGAUGACCUGAGGUUGGGAAUUCGAGACCAGCCUGACCAACAUGGAGA